rnacentral:tRNA from 1 species
ACCCAAGUAGCUUAGUAUUAGAGCAUUACAUUGAAGAUGUAGGGGGAACGGUUUCGUUCUUGGGUG